rnacentral:misc_RNA from 1 species
CUUAAUAGUGAUUUUCAGAAAUCGGUCAUUAGAAGUUAAUUGGUGCUUCAAAUAUACCAUAGGAUUUCCAUUCCCAAGUUGAUUGGGCAUAACAUAGUGCAUAUUUGUUGUUACAGUGCCAGGGACAGACAUUCCAGCUGCAGGCGAUGAAGACUCGCUGUGGGCUUCUGAUUGAUUUUCUGACUGUUCAUUCUCACUACCAUCUGAAUGAUAAUGAAGCGAGGACGUCAUAAUGCUGCUUGCCACAGAAUCUCCAAAGUAACAAACCUUUCGGGAAGAGCUUCGUGUAUACGAAAACCAAUAAGCAGCUUUAAUUUUGGUGUUCUCUGUUGAAUUUCCUUCUCUAGAGAGAGCUUUACUACGUGUUUG